AAAGCUAAAGAGGACCACGUGGAAUCUAAGUGGGGGCAUCAAGUCCUCUUGAUUAAAAUAAUCAUUGUUCUCCGAAGAUAUUUUUGCUUCCAUCUUCUUCUUCUUCACUCUCCAUAACAAACUUCUUUCUCUAAAACUCUUUUCAUCUCUCUCUCUUUCUUCAAAGAAAACCAGAUCUCUCUUUCUUCUUCUAGUUUUCUCUCACUUUCUUCAUCUUCUUCUUCGUUGAUUGUGCCCUAGAUCUUAAAAUUCUCUUUAUUAGUUUUGUUUCAGUACUCAAACCAACCAAUUCCAAAGCUUCAUCAAUGCAGAUUACGUGUGGAUUUCGACGAUCGUUAUCUUCAUAAUCGUUGUUAAUUAUUUGCUGAGUUUCGCUUAAAUUAACUGAGUAAUCAAUAUGUAAAAGGUUCGUGAUUUGAUCUUAAACAAUCAUCUCAUGUCUUCUUUAAUGUAUAUUGCUUAUUAAGUUAUUAAGCUCAGUAUAAUUGUUUGGAAGAAUUAGUAGGUUUGACAAAUUUUAUUUUCUUGUAUGUUUCUUUUUGUAAAUCUGUUACAGAAAUAUAUCAAUGCUCGGAUCGUUAACUAUCUGUUCAGCACAUAACAUGAUUCCUUUCAGUACAUAUCAGUUUAUCAGGUGAAGAGAACGAAUCCUCUUUUUAGUAUAUUUCUUGAUAAUAGUAGAUAGAUCUUAUUUGAUUUGAUUUGUUGUGCUGUUGUUAAAUGUUUCGUGGUAAUCACUAAUCAGUCUUGUUAUUAUCAAAUAUAUCGAGUAUUAAGUGGUUAUUGGUUAGAGUUUUGAAUAUCUGGAUAUGUUUAUAUUGAGUUGUGUUUAUAUAUUGCUUAUUUUGAUUUUUUUGCUUAUAUUCAGAAAUUUUGACAAAUAUAAAUUAUAAUACAAGAGAUACUGUUGUCUAAUAUUGUUUUAGUUAAUUUGUAUUGGAGUUAUGGAUGUUUAUUUCAUAUCGAAGAUGACAAUUAUUGAUUGUGUGUUUGAUUGGUGGGGAAGAACUGCUUGAAAAUCUAUUAUUUGGAAAUUAACAUUUGAAUCCUCCUGUGUUGUGUGUAUUUCGUAGAAUGUAUCUAUCAAGCAUGCUUGUAUAUUUGUUGUUGAUUUCUGAAAACAUGUCUCCAUGGACAUAUCUACAUAUGUCUGUCAGUAUGUGUGUGUGAUUGCAAAUUACGCAGUUUUCGUGCUAAUUCUUAAUGAAUUAUUUAGUGUAUGCAUCUUUGUUACUAAUAUUAAUUGUUGUAAAGAAAAACUAGGUAAUUUGAUGUUAAAUCUAAUAAAUAUUUAUGAAGUAUUGCUAAAAAAAUCAAGCAAAAGUUUUCGAAAAAGGUCAUGCUGUUGAAAUCAGUAGCUUGGUGAUAUGUGGUGGGAUUAAGUUUGCGUGUAUGUGUUGCAAUUGUUGUUGGAUUUAUGCAUUUCUCAGCGAGUUGUGUAUUGAAUGUGUAGAUUUUUUUUCAUUUUUUUUCCCCAUCUGUAAUACAUAGAAGGUGCAUAGCCUCUGGGGUGAUGAUUGCGUCAUGUAGUAUAUAUAGUCCCACACUCCCACAUAUUAAUAACUUGGAUGGGAUAAUGGAUAUAACUAUAUAAGUAGUUAUUUGUCACACAAUAUUGACAAGGUAUUUGAGAACACACUGGCUUUUGAAGUUAAGCAUGGUUUGGCCGGAGGACUAUUAGGAUAUGGGCACUUACUGGGAAUAGGGAUGGAUGUUGGUCAGUUCUUUGAUUACUUUUUGGAAUGAGUCAAAACGCAACACUGUUGGAGUACCUUAGCAGCUAAGUAGGAACAUUUUGGCAGUGUGUAUGGGAGUGAGUGAUCGCUACAUACAUACUCCUUCUUUUGAAGAAUACAUCAAAUUCAUUUUAUUGUAAACGUAUAAAAUAUAUAUGAAAUAUUGUUGUGGAAAAUAAAAGGAUGUGGUAGUGUUGACAAAUUGGUAAUUUUCUUACCAAUGUUGUUCCUUCGUGGGGUUUAGGGUAAUUUAUAUAUAUAUAUUAAGGGCAAUAAUAUGGUUUAGGGUUUAGGCGAGUGAUAGAUUCCCCAAGGGAAUCACAAAAGAAAAACCAACAUACUUUCCUCAAUAUUUGAAGACGUCAAUAAAUAUUUCAUGGAAUCUAACACCCAAGAUUUCGCAUGACAAUCUCAUUGCACGUAUAGGGUUUGGUUGGAUGUGGAGGAGUUGGAUUGACAUGUCUGUUUCUCCUGCGUCCAUCUCAGUCUUGUUAACGAAGCACCUGUGGGUUGGUUCAGGAGUUCCUUUUGAAUAAGGCAAGGGACCCACAUCCCUUUUCACGUUAUUGUUAUUUCUGAAGCUAUUAGCCUUAUCACAAACUGCGCCAAUGAUAUCAGUCGCGAGCAGUUGUUUCACACAUUUAGUUUGUUGACGACACUAUCUAUUUCCUAGACACUUAUGUUGAUCGAUCAAAGUAUGUUAGUGGCAUUCUGGCCUGUCUGAAGGCAGUCUCUGGUCUUAAGAUCAGUCUGAUCAAAAGUAAGGUCUGUAGUGUUGGAGUGGCGUCAUACACUGGACUUUUGCUAGGGCCUAGUUAUCGGUCUAGCACUAUUUGGGAUCCACUGAUUGAAAGGUUUGAAUGCUAACUUGCCUCUUACAAAGAGCGUUAUUAGUCCAAAGGAGGGAGGGUGGUCCUUAUCAGGAGUUACAUGGUUAGCUUGCCAGUGUAUUUCCAGUCCCUUUUUCAGGAUAAGAUAAUGCACGAUUUUCUUUGGGGUGUUAGUGAGGUCAUCAUUGCACAAAAUAGCGUGACAUUUCACUAUAAACCCGCAUAACAUCGUCACAAUAUUUUUGACUUGGACUUUUUGCUAACACCAUAAAGAAAAAUCAAACAGGCAUCUUUAUCUUUGUUACUAUCUCUUCAAUCACAGAUCAUAGGUGAGAUCAAAAGAGUACAGCUUAAUGCAAUCUAUGAUACUUUAAGAGUAUAGCUUAAGCUGUAUGUUGGAGAGGUGCAAGUGGAACAAUAACAAUAGGGCUGAUAAGUGAGCGGAAUUGCUCAACUCGGCUUAAGGCUAGGCUCAUUUUUCAGUCGUUCAAUCUCGUUCACUUUGUAACAAGUCAAGCUACUCAAACUCAGUGUGGGACUCAGCUUGUUUUUUGCUUGCUCGAGCUCGUUCUUUUCGUUACAUGAGUCAACUUAGUCAAACUCCGCGUGCUCGAGCUUGUUCAUUUUGAACAUGUUGAAGCUUGAUUAGCUCAAUUCGAAUAUGAUGAAAAAACCCGAGCUACUGAAGUUCACCUUGGGCCCGAGCUCAGUCAAUUUGUAAUAUGACCCAAGCUUGAACAAAAUUCUUAAAGAUUGGUUGUCAGAAGGUCCAAGAUUGAACAUGCUGGAGCUCGACCAGCUUGGAUCGAGUACCAGUCCUAACUCCUAAAUAGCAACAUGUGUAUGGGUGGUUUGUUACAGAAAGGUUCAGAGCCAAGUACGGCUCGCUUUGAAGGUGAUGGGGCUGUCAUAUUCUACGAGUAUAGCUCAAAGGGCUGUUGGAAAGGCCCCUUGCCCCUUGAUAGGUGAUGGUAGCUCUAAUGUUUAGUCUGUGUGUCCCUCCUCAGCUAGGAAGUCGUCUUAGACCUGCCAUUAGCCUUGAUUGCUGUUUUCAAGGAUCUUGAUUACUUUAAUUUCUCAUUAGCCUUGAUUGCGGGAGUUCAGUAUAGAAGAAAACAGCAAGCAUAAGUUGCCGCCAUACCUUGAAAAACUACCACAGAUCAAGAUCAUAAAAAUCAGUAGUGGCAUGAUGUAUAAUCUCUUACAUAGUACGUCAGUAAGCACUAUUGAUUGACAGUGGGUUGAAGAGUACCACAAAACACUGUCCUAACCUUUGUUACUAUUUAAUCCCAGAUGGUUAUUUUUCCAUAUUCAUUUGAACUUGUGCUGUGCACAUAUGUUUUAGAUAGUUUCUGGCAACUCAUACUUUUUCGAUCUUUACACUGGUGCCCCCAUAAUCUAGACCCCCAUUUAGCCAUCAAAAGACCGACAGGUGUGUGAAGCCUUGUACUGAUGGGUUUUUGUGGCCGAAAACUUUAUAUAGAUGUUGCAUUUUGAUGAUCAAAUUAGCAACAAUAUCUGAGUUACAGAUGUCCAAAUUGGGAACGAUAUCUGGGUCUGCCUCUGUAAAAUGAGGUCAAUUCAUUUGGUCUGCGUCUUUAGAAUGGGUCGACCCUGAGUCAGUUGGUGUUGUCCAUUUGAUGUGGUGUAGAUAGGAUCCGCCUCACGUGCUAAGGAGGAUAUGGGGGUUGCGUACAGUUUGUGAUACUUUGUGGGUAUCUUAUUAGAGCAGAACUGCCAACAUUUUCAGGAUAGGCGUAGGAUUGCUGUUCCUUUGGUGCAAGAGGAGGUAGGACUACUAGGACAACAAGGGGUUGCUAUUCCAUUGGGCCUUGAGGUCGUUUAUAACUGUUUGCUAGUUUGUGAGUGUUUUGUUAUUGUUGUUGUAGUUGCUUUCUAGUUAUUAUCUUGACCAGGGAUGUCUCAUCUCUUGGCACUUUUGUGUGUAAUGCCCUUUCCCAAUUACUAUGUUGAUUGUUUUAUCUCUCAGAAAAUUUAGGUCAUGUGAAAGCUAUGUACACGAUAAAAUCCAGCUAAGGCUAGCAAAGCAAAGAGUAUCUCUUUGUUUGUAAUGUUAAGAGGAGUGCUAUUUGUGUAUCAACCUAAUGAAUGUCUGUUGCAAUGCCUAAGUUGGUUUUAUGACUUACUGAGAUAGUGCUAUUUCUGGAUCAACUUGGUGAUUUUGUGUGCUGUACGCUUAAAACUACUACAAUUUAGUAAUUUACUAUACCGCCUUCAUGUUUGUUCCUGACAUGGAUUGCAAAAGAAGCUUGGAUGAUAUCAUUCACUUGGGCUAUUUUUACUAAGAUAUUACUGCAACACUUAAAUGUUCCUCAAAUAUCAUUAUCCACAUGAGAUGAUACCAAAUGCCAAUGCCUAGCACAAUACAUCAUGUAUGCUUUACCUUAGAUGUUUGCUGAUAGAUAUGUUGAAAUGUCCCGGAUAGCACAAACUACCAAGAGAAAGCCCUUUAUCAUUUGGCCUUUAAACCAUUUUUCUAUUAUACCCCAAAGUUGAUAACCUGCCUUUGUCCAAUCUUUGUUAUUACUGCUGCUGCUGCUGCUGUGAAAGAAGAGUUCUGCAGAUUGUGUGCAAACCUGACAACAAAAGGUUGAUAUGCUAUUAGCCACCAUUUCUCUAUUAUACCCCCAAUGUUGUAAACUUCCUUUGUCCACUCCUUGGUAUUACUGCUGGCUGCUGCUGUGAAAGAAGAGUCCUGAAGAUGGUGUGCUAACAUGAGCACGCUCUAAAUCUGACAAGAAUAGGUUGAUAUGCUAUUAGGCUCCCUUUUUCUAAAAUAAUUCCCAAUGUUGAUAAAUUGCCUUGUCCAGUCCUUAUUAUUUCUGCUGCUGGCGCUGCUGUGAAAGAAGAGCUCUGAAGAUGUGUGCUCAACCUGAGCAUGCUUUGAAUCUGACAAAAAUAAUGGAGUUAUUCAUUCGAUAGUAUAAUUUUCUCCAUUUGGUAUGAUGAAGUUUGAAUGACCUUCAUGCUCAAAUUUAAAUCUCCAGUCUCAUGUAGAUUUAUUUGUUAGAGGUCAUUUUGUUACAACUGGUUUAUAUUGGAAGAGAAAACAUUACAUGUUCAUUCAAAAUAUGUGUCUUGCAUGCUGGUUGUCACUGACAUUUGAUUCAUGAGUUUUGGCCCUCUCCCUGUGUGUGUGUUCUAGAGAGAGGAGAGAGGGAGGGGGCUUUACCUAAAAUCAGCAGGGUUGAUUGUUUGAAGUUUAUUUGAAAUAUAUCUACUAUGUGUGAACAAUGGUUAAGAAACUUUAGGAAUUCAAUUCUACAAUAGAGCUUCUCAAUUUCUAAAGGAUAGAAUGUUUAAUUAGACAUAAUAUGGUGUGAAGGUCUACCUUACAGUAGGCAUACAAUCAUGAGGUCAUAAGGGGGCAACAAGGGUGUAUGUGACAACAUUUGGCGUAGAAGACCUUUAGAACCUGUCUUUUGACCAUACCUGAUUAUUCUGGAAUAAUUUAUGCAAUGACGCAUCCUACUUGGUUAGCGCACAAUAAAAUUUAAAUUUCAAGACCUUUCAUUAUUUCAAUUCUAUUAUCUGAUUUUGAGUAAUUUGAUGAUAUCUUCAAUAGCUUAUGUCAUCAAGAUGUCAAUAUUGUGUUUCAUAGAAUACGAUUCAGAUAUAGCUGUUCUACUAACUAUUAUUUCAAUUAUUUUUGAAGGAUUUAAAACAAAUAAAAGCACCAUGUAUAUCUGGUACAGUGAAUUGUUUCUAAGUAAAUUUACAUAGAUAAUUAGCUCCAUUAAUCAUACCACACUGAAAAUAAGUUUUUUCUGCUAAUGUAUUUUGUCUAGCUCAUAUAGCACAUUGCACUGCAAAGAAACAAAGUAUUGCCAGAUUGCCACAUAGAAUUUUAUUGAUCAGGCCAACUGACAGUUGCCACAGUUCAAUCACGUAUCUAAUGCAAUUGUAGUGUGCUGCAAAUUUUAAGCAAGCAUAUUUGAGAUUAGUUAUGACUGAAGAAAUUUGUAUUUUUUCAGAUUUUGAAGGAAUAUGGAAGUGUUUAGUUUACCCCAACUUGGUAGCCCCUGGUGAAGUCUCAUAGUUUUGUUGCUCUGGCUGACACAACUGGAGGUGGAUAGGAACAUGCAACUCUUCUGAAAUGCUGAAACCAUUUGGAAGAGGUAAGUUUCUGGUUGCUCUGUUUGCAUCCCGUGUUCCAUAAACCUGAUGAAGAAUUUUAUAUUGUAGAAUCUUUCAGAUUUAACCAUGAAAUGAGUAUGCGCAACACUUCAGCAAAAUAUAGGUUGUUUGUAUUAGUUUGUGAAAUCCGUAAACCAAUACCUUCUUAUACAAUUCCAUGUUUUCUUGACGAAUGAGGUUUACCUUCUUGUACAGUUCCAUAUUAUCUUGAUGAAUGAGGUUCCCCUGCAGUGAAGUCAAUAGAAGUUAGACACUUGAAUGUGCAAGGAGAAGUAGUAACAAUUUUAUUAAGAGGAGAGACCUUUCUGUUAAGCUCUUGUAUUUCAUUUGUCAAAAGUUGGUCCUGCCAAAAUCAAAGCCGUUUUAAGAUAUAUACACUUUAUCUUUAGGUAUAUACAAGAUUGUCACUACUGAGUUCUGUUAUUUUGGACCUUCUGCACACGAACACCACGUAGACUCAUUUCCAAUUGGUUCUCCAGAUUUUGUAGGUCUUUAACACUCAAACCAGAGAGCUCUUCUCCCAUCAAUUUUCUGCCAGUAUAAAUGUAGACAUUUCAUUUAGAUGCCAAAAUUAUUAGAUAAUAAAAUAAGCCACUUUAAGUAUUUUAAACAUGUAAGCAGUUUUGUUCCCAAUGACGUGUAAUAAUUUCAAGAAUAUGAUUGAUAUGGUUUAAACUUUGACUUCUAUUUCUUUGUGCUAAUAGUGUGCAAGUACUGAUAGGCUGUAUGUUAUGGACUUAUGGAUAUGUAGAAGAGUAUAGCUGAAAUGUGUAUUUACGGGGAACCUUAAAAAUUAAAAGUGCUUUUAAUAAAACGUUGACCUUUGAAACAUUGAAAUAUAGAAUUUCAUAUAGAAAAUACAGCCAGAAUCUGUCAGGAUCUUAGAUCCUGAUUUGCUUGAUUAGAUAAAAAUUAGGAAGAAUUAGAGAGAAAGGGGAAGAACACGAGAGAGAAAGCGAGAUACAGGAAAGCUAAUUCAUUUCAUUCAUAAUACACAUGGUACAACUCUCAUGCUUUUAUCCUAACACAUGCUCCUUACAACAUUUACUUUUCUACCCUUCUAUUAUUUCUUAAAGACAUUCAUUCUAAUUACCAUAUCCUGACAGAAUCGUAAAUGAAGACUUUCUUGCCUCCUUAAGAAAAAAAAGGGACAUACUACUAUUAGGAUAUGAUGCUUAUUGCUUCUUAACACCUUUGGUGGCAUAUAAGCUUAUACUAGCAUUUGUAGAGCAAAGUGGAUAAGAUCUUACCGGUGGUUUUCUUGCAAUUCAUGCAGUUGCUGCCUUAAGCUUGCUGCCUCCCUUUGCCAGAACUAGCAUUACAUGGCACAAAAAAGAAUUUAUAUAAUGAUGAAAAAUGGCUGAUAUUUGUGGUUACUGGUUAUAUUAAAAAUUGGUCUGAAUUCUUGUUGAUGAUUUUCAUGAAUAUAACCAGACAAAAAUAAUAUAAGCUUCAGUUUUUAAAAGGUUACAUAUAAGGAUAUUAAUCAAAAAAACUUUUCCCCAAAUCUUGAUCUAUUUAUAACUGUAAAUGAAAAAUACGAUUAAUCUAUAGUAAAAUGGGGUCAACCAGUGUGACUAAUAGAUCUAAACAUACAAUGAUGAUUGGUGACUAAGUGCAAAUCUAAGAAGCACUGAGACCUCCUCCAGGCUCGUGUGUUGGUGUUAGACACGUCUGGGUUAUGGACCACGUUACGAGCCUACAACACACUCGAGAGACAUGUUCGAUACGUUAAAAUUACAUGUCCGAUAUUCGAAAUAUAUUUUUUGUUUAUUAUGAACACGUCAAAGACACACGAAGGCAUGAUAGAAACAUGUUGGGGACAGACCAAGGAUAUGUAUAUGGGAUUUUUUGUCAGUUUUAAAGAGGGUUAAAAAAAAAAUCAAUUCAACAUAUAACAGAAUGAAAAUAAUGAAAGAGAGGCUUAUAACCUAAAAUAGAUGAAGGCUUCUAAUCUAUGUAACAUGGACACUCUGUAUAGUAAAAGAAAUCCGUGUCAGAUACACGGACACUCGACACGUGUCGGAUACACUUACAAACUUGUGCACAUAAUUCGGGUUAGAAUUUAUAAUAAAACCCUGAUAUACGAAGAAAAGGAAAGAGAUGAGCAAGAAUUUAUUCCUUCAUCAAACUACAAUCAAUGCAAAGAUAAAACAAGAAGGUGAGAAGAAGAGAUGGUAUGUUCUAUGUCUAAAAAAUGGGUUAUAUAUAAAUCACAAUCCGUAUCCUCGUGUCGACUGGUUUUUGGAUGCCGUAUCGGACACUUCGUACCUGUGUCGGAAACCUACACACGUACCCGUGUCAAUGUUAAUUAGCUUCUAAUAAGCCGAGUCCCAACUUGUACCCAUAAUGUGAGAAAAUAAAGAAGGGUUUCGGAGUCCGUAGAAUACUUGUUGAACUUAUAAUGGGUUAUUUUGGAGUUAUUGGAGUUGAAUGAAAUUCAACAACCUAACCUUUUCAAUUACUCAGGAAAUUCAACUUGUGUUUUUUGUUGUGUACAUGUAUGUUGGCAUCUUAGGUCCAGUUAAAUAAAAAAGGUCUUUAGUAACGAGGCUCAAGGGUCACAUGUCAGGAAAUAAAGUUGUCCUGCACCACAUUGAGAGUAUACUUGAUACUUGAGGACUCGUUGUUGCUUUGCUCCGAGGGAGCUCCAUCUAACUUCCUCAUCUGUGGACGGAUGAUGUAAGAUUUUAUGUGAACAAAGAAAGGAGAAUGGGUUGCCUUGGUUUGGAGACUUGGUUUGAAGAGGAGGGGGGAGUGGUCUUAUGCUUUUGCGUGUUUGUGUUUUAGUGUUUUUGUUUAAAAUAAUCUGAUGAGAAGAUCUAUAGACUGGAGAAGCUUUUGGUUAACCUAAUAGGAAAGGCACCAUGCCCCAGACUUUCUCUUAUCCAGAUUCCAGACCAAUCUUAUUUCAGAUAUUCUAGUCUAGAUUUUCAGAGAAAGAACUAGUAGAGAAAUCUUGCUAUGCGCUCAUCCAAUUUAUCAAGCAUGGAUUUUUGACUCAUUCUGAGAUAUUCUAUAUGCUUGUUAGGGCUGGGCAAAUUAACACUAAAACCGACAAACCGAUCCGAACACAACCGAACCGAACAUGUUAGAAGGUGUUAGGUUGUUUAAGUGUUUGGUUUCGAUUGGAUUUUUUUUUCAAAACCGAAGUAAUGUUUGGCUUCGGUUUCAAAAUUCCUAAACACGUUAAAACCGAACCGAACAUGUAUCUCCCAUUCAAUUAUCCAGCCCACUAAAAACAAGCCAACACUAUAGAGUCCAACCCACUAAUAACAGGCCAACACUCUAUAGUCCAGCCCACUAUUGACGAAAUUUUAAGGGACUUAGGGCUAACUUUCACGUAUUCUUUCUUGUUUCUUCAUCUUCAUCCUUCUUUCUUCACUACUCUACACGUUUUUCGCUUCCACUUCAAAUCAGUUAAUCAAUACAUCAACUAUGCUCCAUUCAAGAUAAUCAAUCUCUGUUCUUCAACUUUCAUUGGCGAGUUUCAAUUUCAUUUCUAUUUAUUUAUUUAUUUAUUUUUUCGAUUUUUGGUUUGAAAUGUGUAUACAGUAUAUAACAUGUUUGGUUCGGUCCCAAUGUCCCCCUCUCUUUUUUAUUGAAAAUUUUAAUUAACAGGAAGGGGUCCGCCAAACCCCACCCCCUUUUCUGGAAAAACAUGUUUGGUUCGGUUUUUUCGGUUAACCGAACAGUUAUAUGUGUUUGGUUUGGUUUCGGUUUAUAUACAAAUAUUUCGGUUCGAUUUGGUUCGGUUUAUUAAUUAAGUCGGUUCGAUUUCGGUUUUUCAUAUUAAAAAACAGGUACUAUGCUGUUUGGCUUCGGUUUUAGUUAAAACCAAACCAAACCGAACCAUACCCAGCCCUAAUGCUUGUGACGUUUAUAAAGAAUGCAAAAGUGGAGAGGGCGUGGUGGUUUAGAAAAAGAGAUAGGAUUGGGGAGCAGGUGGUGACAAGAAACAAACCUAAUUGAGAGAGAAGACUGUUGAGUUGUAAGCAGUCUCAGCUGGUCCACAGGUUGUAUAUGUUGAAUGCCUGAGCCUUUAAAAUUAGCUUGAGGGCUUUAUUGUAAGAGGCAUGAGCUGACUAUGAAGGUGCAGAAUAUGAAUGGAAUAUCCAAUUAUAACUUGUCUGCGUCAACUCACUGGUGAAUAUAACCUGCAGAGAACCAUCCUGUGAGUGAAACGUGAUACAAGUGAAGUACUCAGAUGGUCGAGGUUCAGGUAGACAAGCAGUACCUUGACAUUUCCUGCAUUUCCUUAUAUUGCUCGAGUCUAUAUUGUAUAGAGGGUUCCCUUGUGGAGUUAAAACUGAGGACCAGCUGAGACUGCUCUAGGGGUGACCCUGCUGAGAAUGAGAAGAAUUUGGAUUUCACAACAAACUUAUAUCAAACUUGGUUUGAAGUUUGAAUUCCUGGCUUUGUGGAAGUUCACCAUUCUUUGAAGAAUAAGAUGUUGUAACUGAGACAGUAUCAUGCAGACCAACACAUUGCCGAGACAAAUAGACAUUCUCAUUGUAUCAUUCAGGUCAUCUGAGACCGCCAGGGCCAUGUACUGUAGACACCUCGGAGUGGCUUUCGUAAUUACUGCAGCGUUAUAUAUUGUCGGCCGGCUCCCUUCGUUAUAUUUCUAUUGAGAUGGAGGUAUGUGGGUGACGAAUGUGCUCACACAGCAGGUGGGCCAGCUAGCUUAGUUGGUGAAGUCUGUGCGAGUUGUCUGAAAUUCAGAAGGGAUUUAUUUCAAAUAUAAACUAUGCCUAUUAAAUUUGAUACCCAUACCCAGAGUUCAUAUAGAGUUUAGAAUCUGCAUUAUAUGUGAAUGAAAGAUCUCAAUUUCAUUUGUCAUCAUUUAAAUUUUUGGAUUGUUUAUAUAUUUGAUGUAUUUAAGAAUGGGACUUUGGAAAAUAUGAACUAUUGUUUUCGUGCACCACGCACAAUUGACAAAACUAAGUGUGAUGCUCAUCGUCUUGAAGAGCGCAAUGGAUACCUGUCAACAUGGAUAUCUCAGCAUAUCCUAUACGACUAAUACCCUGGCGAGUGUGUCCCCACUGUAAAAAGUUCAUGUAAGUGUGAUUUUUUUUCCAUGACAUGUUUCUUAAGGACCACAUCAGCCAAAUCCUCUUCCAACUGGAGCUCAGGAUUUUCACAAAACUUAAGUGCUCACCAGGUAUAGUGUAAAAUAAUUCAGAUGACCUACAACCAAGGUCAUCUAGGUUAGCUAGAGCAGCCCAUAAAACUAAGGCAUUUCAACGAUAUGAGUUUGGAUGCUCAUACUGAUAUCUGGAAAUUGACAAACAGACAAUUCCUGAGAGUUAAACUCUCUUGCUAGUGAUGGAAGGAUCUGUUAUGUCGCUUCACUGAACAGAAAAAGUAAGGUUUAUUCUGAUCUACUCAGGCAUUCACACAUACGCAUUGUGAAUCAUCGAAUUCUAAAUAACAUACUAAAUAACAUUUUUAUUGUGAAUCAUCGAAUUCUUAAAAACACCUUAUAUUGUGUUGCUGAUUAGAUCGUGUCUUGUGUAGAAUAUAAGAUGUAGUGGUAUACGGCCAACAUUGCAUUGAUGGUAUAUGUAUGUACAUAGAUUUUUUAUAUGCGCUGAGGACUAAUGUAAUAGACUAACUGAUCCAUGUUAAAAAUCCAUUUAUCUGAGCUGAUUCCGUAGGACAAUGACACUACAGAAAAGGUACAUCAAGAACAAUGAGGGCAUUGUGUCUUGGAAAUAGAAGCACGAAAGCUAUAUAUCAUACAAAACAAUACAAUAUGAGAAGCUUAGUUUUUUGUUGUUUUGCAAUCUGUUGAGUUGUUGUUGGGUAUAUGACAGUAGAAAUUUCCAUAUCCGUGUGAUUUUUGUUUUUGACAUUGAAGUAGUCUAUGCUUGAGAUAGCAAUCUGUUGGGGAAAUGGAGUGCAACGCUACUACAUUUAUUGCAGUUAAGAGUUUUAGUGUUUUUAACAUAAAGACAAAAACCACAACUGCUGAAAUGCGGGUUGUGUCUUCUCUACCUGCUCCCCCAAUUUCUAUCUCUGGUUUUUUGUGUUACUUUACUGAAAAUUUUUACUCUCUCUCUCUUUCUCUCUCUCUCUCUCUCUCAAAAUAAAAAUAAAAAUAAAAAUAAAAAUAAAAAUAAAAAUAAAAAUAAAUAAAACAAAAUUUACUGUCUCUCACAUUCAUUGCUGAAUCAUUAUUAACUAGUAAGUUUUUAAGUUAUAGACUUCUCUACCCAUUAUUCGCUACAUGUUCCUUGAUUGCAGAGAAGAUUGCAUAAUGUCAAAAGCAGAUUCAGCAGAGGAUACAUGAAACACAUUUAAAAUGGUGGUAGGUCUAUAAAAUAUGGCGAAGGAAAGUUGAUGGAUACCUUUACUUCUGAAGUUGGAUUCAAUAGUUGAUGAUGUUCCUCCUUGGAUUUGUUGUAUCGUUCAAUAACAGACUUCAUGCUGAUAAUGACACAGGUAAAAAUCAUCAAUUUUCACAUCUGUGUAACUAUUGUGACAUACAUUCUUAAAAUGUGUAUCUCACUUUGAUGUUCUUUUAUUACAAGAACUCAAACAAUAAGAUCAUGAGAAUACUAAAGUAGGCCUGUAAAAAUGGCCCUUUGACCCUAAACCCGGCCUGACCCGCCCGCCCCAUUCAACGAAAAAAUCCCUUAAAACUCAACCCUUACAAUUUUUAGGGUAGGGCUGACCCGACCCGACCCUCUCCAUUUAAGGGAAAGACCAAUUACUAAAUGUUAGCGAAGGCGACCAACGGGUUAGGGUUUAGCUUUGGAAAACUUAGACCCUACCCUUAGGCCGACCCUAAUUAGUCCUCCCAAAGCCCUCUUACGACCCUUAUUGAUAUAUGUAUAAUUUUCAAUAUAUUUCUCUCUAUUAUGAAAUUUGAACAUUUUUUUAGAGUUUUAAUUAUAAAGAUUCUUACCAUUAGACAUAGAUGUUAUUUUUGUUUAAUUUAUAUGAACAUUACCAUAUGUUUAUCGAAUAAUUUUUCGAACCGGUUGUUAAAAAAUUAUUAUAUAACCAAAGGAAAUUAAUUCUGAAUAGAUUUUUUAUUAACAAUCUAUUUCAUUAUUGAGCAUGCAAUAAACAAUAAUUAGAUUAUUUUCUUAAAUGUGUAUUUUAUAUUUAUCAUGCUAGAAUUUUAUCAAUUUAGGAUUAAAUUUUGAAAUUUUGAAAUUUUAGUAAUAAGAUAAUUUCCGAGUUCUUUGUAUUUAUUAGUUGUAAUGCUUUUGAGUAAGAUAAUAUCAUAUACUAUAACAAAUUUUGUGGUAAAAAAAAUAUAUUUGUACAUUUAAGAAUUAAAACAUAUUAUACGUAUUUUCAAAAACUUGAAAAUGAUAUUAAUAUAAACAUGAUCCCAUGUUUUUUUUUUUCAAUUAAAACAUGAUCAUAUAUAUCGACCCUAUCAACCGUGCCCGUUAGCCCGACCCUCAACCCUUUCAAAAAAGGGAUAAGAGUCGGGUGAGGUUUUCAUAAUUUUUGUGUUAGCCGCCCUAACUCGACCCUUAUCAUCUUUUAGGGUAGGGCUAGCCCGGCUCGAGGGUUUAAGGGGCGGGUUACCCCUCCCCUGCCCAUUUUACAGGCCUACGUGAAAGUGGAAAUUUGUGAAUGUUAGGUGAACUGUCCAAGAGGGCAAUAUCAUCUACGGAGUAUAUGAGAAUCAGAAGUGAAUGACAGCCAAACAAGAUAUAACAAAAACAACUGGCUGUUAAACAGGGAUAUAUGGCAUGUUGCCGCCUAAUUUGUUUUGUGCCUUCAGCCCUUCACAUUAUGAGGGCUACCAUCUCUAUGAAGACUCCUUAGUUUAGGUUUGCCUCAAUCUGAGCAGCCAGGUUAUUACCAUCCCACCUGCUAAUAAUAUAAUCAUCCUAACUUACUCGAGAGCAUCCAGACCUGAAGGUUAGUGGAGCCAUGACUGGCAUAUGAGAAAUUUUCCUAGGUGUUGUGGAGCAUUCCUGAAGUAUUGUACUACUAUUUGACUCGGUUGUUUUCUUGUAUAAAUAUAUUGGGAAAAUGCUUUCUAGGUUCAUGUUUAGAUAAAAAGAUGAAAUUUCAAGAAGUGGCAAAUGCAUUCUAAAAUUUGGAUACAUAUUUCUGGUGUAGGAAAUGUUUUGGAAAUGUGCUCUCAGUUGAGAUUGGGUUGUAUUGGAGCACCCAGAACCAGCAGGUAGAGUGGUGCCAGAAAGAUACAUUGCUGCAUGGGAAAGGAACUGGCUUGACUAAUAACUACUGGGCCCAAUGUUGUGCUAUUGUUGAGGUUGUGAAAUUGGCAAGACAGCAUGGCUUAGUGUAUGGAUGGAAUCAAACUCUGCUGCUGCAGUUAAUGCAUUCAGAGAAGGCAAAAUACCAUGGGAGCUAAAAUAGUUGGAAUUAAUGUGUGAAAAAACUCCAUGAUUUAACUAUCUACAAGCACGUUGUUGUAGUGGAGAAAGAUGUUGUUGUAGUGGAGAAAGAUGGAAGAUUUUAAAAUUUUGUUGCAAAACACUAAAACACCCAUGGUUUGGUUAAGUACACUAAACCCUGUAAUUUUCUUUAAGAUACUAGAAAUAAAAGAUGAAUCAUAAUAUUGAUGUAUUAGGUUUAAACUUACAAAGAAGCUAAUUCUCUUUGUAUAGAGUGAGUCGACAGUGUUGGUACAUGGUACAUGAUUUGAGCUUUGGUUUUUGAGUAUAAAACUUACUGUAUAAGUUUUGAAAUAGUUUGAUCUCGUCAGUUUUAAUUAACUAGUCCUUACUCCUUAGGCCUGUGUAAUGUUUGUGGGUAUUGUGAUUUAUUAUACUCCGUAAUUCUUUUAUAAAUCACUUCUGGUUCACUUAUAUCAACUUUAUACAUAUGUAUACAAAAUCAAGGUUCAUAUGAUAAAAUU
rnacentral:lncRNA from 1 species